GCUGACACAUCCCGGCCAAUCUCCAGCAGACCCUCCCUCCCAGACCCUCCCACCUCCUGGACAGCAUCCAUGUUGAAGGCAGCUUCAACAUGGAUGCUGUCCAGGAGGUGGGAGGGUCUGGGAGGGAGGGUCUGCUGGAGAUUGACCGGGAUGUGUCAG